GGGCUCUGUAGGGCUGAGACUAAAGAUCAUUAUAGGCUAAUAAACACAAAAGACAUACUGUGUUUUUUCUUACGCGAUAUACUGAACAUUAUAUUAGAUGUUUUAACGUGCAGAACUUUACUUUUUUUAAUUUCGGGCCAAAGUAAUACGGGAUUCAGGAAAGAAUGCUUUAUUUUGUCGACAUUCAGAUGACACCCCUUCUAACCCUUUCGUACGAGGGGACAUUAACCCCGCCACAUAUUCUAUUCUCUAUUCUGUUGUCUCUUUGACGUAUACUCCACUUUAACUUUUAUACAAAUUUUAAAAGCAAUACUACAUUUCCUUUGUCAAUUUGCUAUGUAUAUAUUUAUGGCUCUGUAACAUAUUAGAUGAAACAAUAUAAUGUAUAUGAAGCAACAAUCAGUUGAUAUAAAACACAUAUAAGGCGAGAUGCUACUAAAGCUUCACGUGGCGUAG
rnacentral:lncRNA from 1 species